UAUAUACCUCCUCCGUCCAACAGAGGAUGUCUCAACUUUGACUAAAUUUGAAUGCAUCUAUACACUAAGUCAUGUAUAGAUACAUUUAAUUUUGACAAACUUGAGACAUCUUUUGUUGGACGAAGGGAGUACUAA
rfam:Brachypodium distachyon strain Bd21 chromosome 5, whole genome shotgun sequence.